UAGGGAAUCUUCGGCAAUGGGGGCAACCCUGACCGAGCAACGCCGCGUGAGUGAAGAAGGUUUUCGGAUCGUAAAGCUCUGUUGUAAGAGAAGAACGAGUGUGAGAGUGGAAAGUUCAUACUGUGACGGUAACUUACCAGAAAGGGACGGCUAACUACGUGCCAGCAGCCGCGGUAAUACGUAGGUCCCGAGCGUUGUCCGGAUUUAUUGGGCGUAAAGCGAGCGCAGGCGGUUCUUUAAGUCUGAAGUUAAAGGCAGUGGCUUAACCAUUGUACGCUUUGGAAACUGGAGGACUUGAGUGCAGAAGGGGAGAGUGGAAUUCCAUGUGUAGCGGUGAAAUGCGUAGAUAUAUGGAGGAACACCGGUGGCGAAAGCGGCUCUCUGGUCUGUAACUGACGCUGAGGCUCGAAAGCGUGGGGAGCAAACAGGAUUAGAUACCCUGGUAGUCCACGCCGUAAACGAUGAGUGCUAGGUGUUAGGCCCUUUCCGGGGCUUAGUGCCGCAGCUAACGCAUUAAGCACUCCGCCUGGGGAGUACGACCGCAAGGUUG
rnacentral:rRNA from 1 species